UGCGAACUCCUACGGGAGGCAGCAGUAGGGAAUCUUCGGCAAUGGGGGCAACCCUGACCGAGCAACGCCGCGUGAGUGAAGAAGGUUUUCGGAUCGUAAAGCUCUGUUGUAAGUCAAGAACGAGUGUGAGAGUGGAAAGUUCACACUGUGACGGUAGCUUACCAGAAAGGGACGGCUAACUACGUGCCAGCAGCCGCGGUAAUACGUAGGUCCCGAGCGUUGUCCGGAUUUAUUGGGCGUAAAGCGAGCGCAGGCGGUUUGAUAAGUCUGAAGUUAAAGGCUGUGGCUCAACCAUAGUUCGCUUUGGAAACUGUCAAACUUGAGUGCAGAAGGGGAGAGUGGAAUUCCAUGUGUAGCGGUGAAAUGCGUAGAUAUAUGGAGGAACACCGGUGGCGAAAGCGGCUCUCUGGUCUGUAACUGACGCUGAGGCUCGAAAGCGUGGGGAGCGAACAGGAUUAGAAACCCUAGUAGUCCAGAUG
rnacentral:rRNA from 1 species